AGAAUGGGGAGUCUGGAUGCAGAGCACAUGUGAACUCUUACUGUAACACUUUCAAAUACUCCUCCUACUGUUCUCCUCUAGAUAGGGCUGAACUGAGAAUACAAAAGUGAUACAUUACAGUUUACCAGGCAUACCAUUUUCACCUCAAGAUUUCUAGUAUCCGUGAAAGUGAAAAUUACUACAACAGCAAGUGGAAGCCUGUGAUAAAAGUAUUGCCACAAAGCAAGCCACGUUCAGUCACUCAAGCCACUUCACAAGCCUACCAAACUAUGCCGCUUUUUCUUUCUUCCAGACCAGAUGUGCCUUUCAAGAGUGACUUUUCGUGAACUAGCAUAGAUUGAAUAGCUCACAAACGGGGAAGAAACUUAGGAUGUUUAAGCUAAGAAAGAGCCUGACUUCUAGAAGAUAUUUUUACCUGCAGAAUGUCUCAGGAACAGGAAGAGGCCUUUCCCUGUCCAGAACUUACUAUCUCUGAAGGCUUCUGCCUAAGCUUAAACUUUUCCAUCUGUGCUCUUAUGUAAGACAUGAUUUCCUAAACUUCACCUACAUAACACAAUCAGAGCAACCAGGUUUAUAAUCUCAUGCUUAGACUGAGUUUCAUGAUAAGAAUAAAAGAAAUACUAUUCUCAACAGAAGCAGAUAAUUAUGUUGCCAUUGAAAGAAAGGGUAGUUAAUAGAUGUUAUUUGGAUACAUCAAUACAGAAUUGAUCCUUGUACUUUCAGUCUGCCUCCAGAGCAAAUAGUAAUAAUAUUCUCCAUAAUUACUCUCAGAUAGCUACAAUUAGGAGAGAUCCACUGCCCAAGCAUUCACACACCAUUCAAGGAGUCAUGCACACACACCACCCAAGACUUUAACUGCCGGGACUGGAAUCCCUUCACAGUGGGAAGCUUCAAUGAGCCAAUGGGUGCCCUUUUCUACUCCUUGCUCACACACCCUCACUCUUGGUGCAUUUCCUCCUCCUUCAGGAUUGACCCUAAGUUUCCUGCAGCAGAGUUUCAGAUGUCCGAUUCUGAGAAAACAUAAUGAUUGAGUGGUACAGCAAAAGGUACACUUAAGCUGGGUACCUCCAGAGAGAGACCUCAAACAAAGAAACCCCUGGAUAAUUAUAUAUACCCUUAUGAUUUCUGCAACCGUGCCUUACUUCCUUUCUUAAUCACCCAGUAGUGAUUUUUGUCUGAGGUCUUCAAACACCUUAUUAUAUUCUUUCUCCAUCUUCAUACAGGAAGGCCAUUAACUGAUCGUGUUGAGUUGCAGCUUCUGCUGAAGGCUGCAGCCUCCUUAUCUUCUCGUUCAUGCUUCUUGUGCACCUGCUCAUCAACAGAGCACAGGACACUAAAAAUCCUAGACCUAGGAUAAACAUUACUUAGCAACAACUAAAACAUCAUUGUGCUAUCAACAUUCUUCUCACACUAAAACAUAAUGCAGCAUGGUACCAGCUACUAGGAAAAUUAGCAAGAAAAUUAACUCUAUUCCAGCCGAAAGCGUAUCUAGGUGAAAGUCCACAGCUUACGGCUUACAGCCUCAACAAAUCUAGCUACUCGUGUUGAGCAAGUAAAGCUAAGCAGACAGCAUACCAAACCUCACAAUACUAUAAGUAACUCAUUCGAUUUAAGACUUACUUAUUUAAGCUAAACAACUAAUAACUCUCAACACUACUUCUACUUGCUUGAAUGAAACAAAAAGGAUGCAAUAUUCUAUCAGUCAUUAGAGAGCUUCCAGAAGUUUUUCAGGCAACUUAAUUUGUAAGCAAUUAUAAUCUGUACCUUUGCCUAUCUAGUUCCAGAAAUUAUUAAAAAUGUUCAGUGUGUCAUUUACACUUCAACUUGUUUAGAUAUUUUGAUUGCUAAAUUAUUUGGCUAGUAGAUCUCUUAGUAAUAGGUUUUUCACUGCUACAGCUCGUUACAUGAGCAGGCACUUCCACCAAGGAGUAUACCGAUGCCAGCAAAACCAUAUGUGUCCACUGAUAGUUUCCUUAGUUUAAAGAUUAUGCUUUUGGUUCAGGCUUAAAAAAAAUAGAAUCCUACU